GUCCCAGAGGCGCAGUGUGUAUCAGAGAAGCCGCCUCGAAAACAAUUGCCUGGAUUUUAAUUAAAGUUCAGCAGGAGGGACUGAAACUGGGACAGUGAGCGGGAGCCGGGAAGCACGGAGAGGCGCUGUGGCUGCUGGAAUAUUUAGAAAUGAUUAAAUGGAAUCCACGCCCAUCCCUUCCUACCUAGAAAUGUAUUUUCCUAGUGUAGACUUGGUCUCACAGCACUCGGCGUACAGGGGACAAUACUGACCAUCUACGUGCUCCGGACACUACCUGGGCGUUUCUACAGGCUCAUCAGGAGUAUGUCUCUCUUCCUGCCAGGAGGAAGCUGUGCCCAGAAAGGCCGAUUCAUUUAAAGAGCCUGUGUCUGCUCCUCACAGAACCGCGAGGCUAGCCUCUGAACAGACGCCAUCGUUGUGCACAGACAGACUUAUUUACAGAUUCUGCUGCAAGCUCGGGAACCGCACGCAGCCCCUCCUC